rnacentral:rRNA from 1 species
CCCCGGCGAGGGGAGUGAAAAAGAACCUGAAACCGUGUACGUACAAGCAGUGGGAGCACGCUUCGGCGUGUGACUGCGUACCUUUUGUAUAAUGGGUCAGCGACUUAUAUUCUGUAGCAAGGUUAACCGAAUAGGGGAGCCGAAGGGAAACCGAGUCUUAACUGGGCGUUAAGUUGCAGGGUAUAGACCCGAAACCCGGUGAUCUAGCCAUGGGCAGGUUGAAGGUUGGGUAACACUAACUGGAGGACCGAACCGACUAAUGUUGAAAAAUUAGCGGAUGACUUGUGGCUGGGGGUGAAAGGCCAAUCAAACCGGGAGAUAGCUGGUUCUCCCCGAAAGCUAUUUAGGUAGCGCCUCGUGAAUUCAUCUCCGGGGGUAGAGCACUGUUUCGGCAAGGGGGUCAUCCCGACUUACCAACCCGAUGCAAACUGCGAAUACCGGAGAAUGUUAUCACGGGAGACACACGGCGGGUGCUAACGUCCGUCGUGAAGAGGGAAACAACCCAGACCGCCAGCUAAGGUCCCAAAGUCAUGGUUAAGUGGGAAACGAUGUGGGAAGGCCCAGACAGCCAGGAUGUUGGCUUAGAAGCAGCCAUCAUUUAAAGAAAGCGUAAUAGCUCACUGGUCGAGUCGGCCUGCGCGGAAGAUGUAACGGGGCUAAACCAUGCACCGAAGCUGCGGCAGCGACACUAUGUGUUGUUGGGUAGGGGAGCGU